UAAUGCAUAUACACUGACUACAAGCUAAUAGAAUAAAAUUUUAAUUAUAUAUAGUUAUAUAUCAUGUUUUUAAUUUAAAUAUCAUACAUGUAUAUAAUUUUGGAUUCGAAUAUCAUGGAUUCGGAUACGGAUAAUAUCCGCUUUUUCUCAUAUACGAUUGCGAAUUUUUCGGACGGAUAUCGAAUUUUUCACAAUUUUUUUUUUACAGCACUACCUAUAAGUGGCAGGUUCAGGGGUCAAUAUUACAGAACUAUAUGAAAUAACUGUGAAAGAAAUCUACAAAACCUUUUCUGGUUACUCUCUUUGGUUUGGGGCUCAGGGCAGAUACAAUAUCCCUUCCACCCACCUUGUAUAAAGACAUGUUCUUAUUAUCUAUUUUUUGGGUAUAUGAUAUUUUCUUGUUUACUGCUACCAUCUAUAAAGUUCUUCAGUACAUGGCCAGUUCUAGUCUUGUAAAUUUACUCUCUUUGGGUUGGGGCUCAGGUUAGAUACAAUAUCCCUUCGAUCAACCCUCUAUAAAGACAUGUUCUUAUUAUUUUUUUCUUGGGUAUAUGAUGUUUUCUUGUUUCUGCCACCAUCUAUAAAGUUCUUCGGUAUGUGGCCAGUUCUAGUCUUGUUAUGGUGAUUUAUAAUUAAUGAGAUUUCAAAAAAAAUUCGUAUGAACUUUAGCCCUACUAUAGUUCUUGUCCUGUACGGGGAAGCUGCAGGAUCAAAUCUGUCAGUAAACUUAAUGGAUUAACUGAGGAAGAUAUCUACGAUAUCUACACAAGACCUUUUGAGCUACUCUCAUGGGGUUGGGGCUCAGGACAGAUACAAUUUCCUUUCCACCAAUCCUUUAUAAAAUCUAAUAACAUUUUUCUUGAGUAUCUGUUUGCUUGUUUUCUGCUACCAUCUAUAAUUCUAGAUUUAUAUAAUUUUCUCNGUACAUUCAUAAAAUUAGUUUCUACUUCACAUGAAUCACAUAGACUUGAUUAUGUAUGUUAAAUUAUGACAUAAAACCAAUAGAAUAACAUAGAAACAAGUCGUAGAUGGACCUUGCACUUUAAACUUGGUGUAAAGACCUUCAUUUUUAUUUUAAAAUGGAAUGCUUCAAGGUGAAGUGUCUGGUUUUAAAAACAAGAAUCCAACUUAUAUCCCAUACCCCACAUCCAUGUGAUGUCCCAUGUCCGGUGUUCACGGGUGCAAGGACAAAAAUGGUAAGUCCGGGUAACAGAGUGUACAUGUAAAUAAAUAUUACUUUAAAUGGGCCAGGUUUCUCUUGAAUUAGCCACAACUAGGAGUCGUGGACAUAUUAUGCUCAAUUCUGGUUCUUCGGUAUCUUUUGAUAUGAUUACCUCUGCCACAAGCUCAACUCUUAUCGAGUCUUUUAGAAGACUAAGAAGUUACACCCUCUAUCCCAAAUUUGAUUUCGCUUUGACUUUUUGCACGCGCUUUAAGGUGCAUAAAAAACAUAGCUCUAUGACUUGUUUUCCAAAUAUUAUUCUUUUGAAUAAUAAUAUAAUAUUCGAAUUUUUGUGCACAAAAAAAGAAUAAAAAAAGUAAGUUGUAGAGCUAUCUUUUAUAUUCACUCUAAAAUACGUGUGAAAGUCAAAGUUAUACCUAAUUUGGGAUGUGUACCAGUUGGAGCAUCUUGAAAAUUAUAAAAGCAAAGUCUAGGCGGCAAUGCCGUGAACAGAAAAUGUAGAUGAUAUGUAAAAAAGAUGGGCACUCUCGAAUGGAUCAUUCCUCUUAGCAAAAAAAUAUAGCCAACCAUUUCAUACUGGUUAUAUUUGGCCAACCUCUAGAUAUUUGUAGCAAGAUUUCACAUCAUCUAUUACCAUAUUAAAACAAUAUAUUCUUUGAAAUAAUAAUAACACGCCAUUUUUAAAAUAUAGCCAAUCAAGAUAAUCAAUCUCAUCGGAGCGAGUGGCUUUAUGUGUAUAUAUCUAUUGACGGUUGUGAUUGUAUUGGACUAUUAGUGUUGGAUUUAUUGAAUAGGCUGAUUAGUUUUCAAUUUAAUGUACGGGUUGGAUCUAGUAAAACUUGGGGUGUUGGCCCCUUAAGGCACAAUUUCUAGAAAAAUGCCCAGAAAAGCACAAUCUGAAAAACUGGCCUUUCUUGACACAGGAAAACACAUAUUACAUUAACGUUUGUUGCAAAUAAAUUAUAAUAAUUCGUUACCUUGCUUUUUUGUUCGUAAACUGUGCUUAUGAGAACGUGACAUGAACUUGCGUUGACUUCAACGCAUGUAAUAAAUGCGUUAUUCAGCAACAUUCUUCAUGCAUGUGAUGCACUAAAAGCAGUCAUGUCCUCUGUUGAAAUCCGUGUCUAGUUCAUAGGAUAGAUCCCAUGUGUUGCUGCCAUCAUUUCCAACUUCUUAUCACCCAACUUAAAUGAUUUGUUGUACUGCAACAAUAACGCAAAUGAAAUCUACGUUUAUAAGUUACAAAUGUAGGCACUGUUUUUGUUUGUGCCCUUCUGGGCCUUUUUCUUUAAUCCAGUGCUCUUACGGGCCUUUUCUCUAAAAAUGGAGGUUUAUGACGCAAAAAAGGAGAUAUACAACAGGAUGAUGGUGUAGCUAUGUGAUUGUAGUAUAACAUUACAAAUCUGUAUUAUAAUAUUCACUUACUAAUGUUUAUGACUCCCUACAAAUACAACUAUAUUGUCCUUAUUUUUGUAUCAAUGCUAAUCAAGAAUCCUUGAGAAAUUAUGAGCCCGUCAUUGUUAUUUUUCUUCGACUAUUUAGUAAAGAGAAAUUGACUUCCUCGACUUGUGCAAACUCUUGAUUCUUCCGUGUUGACACCUGAACACCUGAUUAGUUUUCUUUUGAUUUAUUCUUCAGGUAUCUGUGCUCUAUUCAGGUCUAUAUCUUACUGUUUAAGACUGAUUGUAAUAUUGUAUAAAUAUUAUCUUCAACUUUAUAGCGCUCUCGGUCUGGUUCUUCACAUUCUCAGCCAGCUGCAGUAGCACAAACAAAACCAGGGGACUGGGAUAUAGAUGUAAGAGCACUGAUGAUUAAUGAGAAAAUUGCGACGGGAUCUUGUGCAGAUUUGUGAGUGAGGCUUUUUUUUCUGAAUCGGAAAUAUAUGUUGUUUCCCGUGAUUACACAUAUAUCUGCUGACCAUAAUUCUGGCGUACAUGAUAGGUUUCGGGGAACCUACUGUGGUCAGGAUGUUGCUGUAAAGGUACUCAGAUCUGAGCACUUGAAUAAAACAUUGGAAGAUGAAUUUGCUCAUGAAGUCAAUAUCUUAAGGUAAGUAAAUUUUCAGUGAGAACAAAAUAUAUCUUUGGAGUUAAAGAUCUCUUACCUUCAUUAAUUCCGAAAGAAUGUAUUGUCAGACAACAUGUUAUAACAGUCAAGAAAAUAUUUUUUAAGUUUUGUUCGUAGCUUCCUGCCUGACUCCUGGCAGGUAAAUUAAAUUGGCUUGAACUCCUAUUUGUGGUCACUAGUAAUAAGUUUUUCUCUCCAUAUGCAUGGACAGUUCUGCAACAGAUGACCACUGUAAUAGUGAGUUUUGAACUUUUUAUUGAUGAGAUUCUAAAAUAUUAUCUAAUGAACUUAGCUGUGGUGUUAUAGUUCUUGUCCUGUAAAGGGCUGUCAAACGGAUAAUUCGGAUCCGUAUCCGUAUCCGCAAUUGUUGGAUUCAGAUACGGAUAAUAUCCCCUUUACUUCAGAUACGGAUAAUAUCCGGUUUUUCUCGGAUACGAAUGCGGAUAUUUUGGACGGAUGUCGGAUUUUUUUAUAUAUAUAUAUAUAUGUAUAUAGUAUAUGUACAAUUAUAUAAAAUUUGUAUAAAUGUAUUAUUUAAUGCAUAUACACUGACUACAAGCUAAUAGAAUAAAAUUUUAAUUAUAUAUAGUUAUAUAUCAUGUUUUUAAUUUAAAUAUCAUACAUGUAUAUAAUUUUGGAUUCGAAUAUCAUGGAUUCGGAUACGGAUAAUAUCCGCUUUUUCUCAUAUACGAUUGCGAAUUUUUCGGACGGAUAUCGAAUUUUUCACAAUUUUUUUUUUACAGCACUACCUAUAAGUGGCAGGUUCAGGGGUCAAUAUUACAGAACUAUAUGAAAUAACUGUGAAAGAAAUCUACAAAACCUUUUCUGGUUACUCUCUUUGGUUUGGGGCUCAGGGCAGAUACAAUAUCCCUUCCACCCACCUUGUAUAAAGACAUGUUCUUAUUAUCUAUUUUUUGGGUAUAUGAUAUUUUCUUGUUUACUGCUACCAUCUAUAAAGUUCUUCAGUACAUGGCCAGUUCUAGUCUUGUAAAUUUACUCUCUUUGGGUUG
rnacentral:lncRNA from 1 species